rnacentral:rRNA from 1 species
CGUGCCUAACACAUGCAAGUCAAACGAGGUCCAUGAGAGCUUGCUCUCAGAAGACCUAGUGGCGAACGGGUGAGUAACACGUGAGAAACCUGCCUCGGAGUGGGGAAUAACUCGGGGAAACUCGAGCUAAUACCGCAUAUCUUCACAUGAUCGCAUGGUCGAGUGAAGAAAGAAUUUCGCUCUGAGAGGGUCUCGCGGCCUAUCAGCUUGUUGGUGGGGUAACGGCCCACCAAGGCAACGACGGGUAGCUGGUUUGAGAGAACGAUCAGCCACACUGGGACUGAGACACGGCCCAGACUCCUACGGGAGGCAGCAGUGGGGAAUCUUGCGCAAUGGGCGAAAGCCUGACGCAGCAACGCCGCGUGCGGGAUGACGGCCUUCGUGGUUGUAAACCGCUUUCAGCAGGGACGAAAAUGACGGUACCUGCAGAAGAAGCCCCGGCUAACUACGUG